AAAUUAUGCAUCGGGCAUUUUCUUAGUAGCUCAUUGAAUCACUCCCAUACUUCAUAUAAUGUUUCAUCCUCUAAUUUUCUAAACAAUGUAAUGUCGUUGCUCAACUU
rfam:Gossypium arboreum cultivar AKA8401 contig_8502_1, whole genome shotgun sequence.